ACCAGGAGUUGUCGUCAUGUUUUGCCUGACAGCGUUCAGGUCCCUGAACGAGAUAAAGCUGUCUCGGUCGCCGGGUCGAACCCUACCGUCUAUAUUGGAUGGUAAACGUGCACCUGCAACACACCCGGUAAGGCUUUGAGACCAGUUUUCAACUAACGAACAUCUGUUUUUACCCCUUAUAACACCCUUCUGGUGGUAGUAAAUAAAACUUUUCACAUCUAGUUCAAGAAGCAUGCAGCUAUUAAAAUUCAUUUGUUAAUGGCGUCUCUGUUCAUUCUCGGCCGAAAAUGCAAAAAGUGAAAGUGUGCUUUAUUUGUGGUGUGAUUGAUAAGGAAAGCGACAAAUCCUUGUUUUUCAUUCCAUUAGGAAAAUUGGAGGAAUGGCAGAAAAUAAUUGCCAAACCUGGGUUGACGAGGCACAUUUUAAGAAAAGUGAAAUUCAUAAAGGAACUCAAGUAAGCAACAACUUUGUUCCAGCAGCAAGAAAUCGUUUGUUAAAAAAAAUGUAGUGCCCACAAAAAAUUUGGCAGGUAUAGCAAUCUUGAAACAGACUACAAUGGCCUUACAGCCAUGUAUCCUUAACAUUGGAUCAACAGCAGGAGGACCAAGGUUACGUACUGAACCAUGUACCAAAAUACAGAAGCCACAGCCAAGGCCACCAGAACUUGUUGCAGCUGUAAGGAACGGUCAGCCGCGUUCCUUACAUCCCUUUCUCCCUUCCCACGCUUACAACCCUUUUCCCCUCUUCCACCGAUAGGUCAUCUACCGAUGGCUCCGGCCUUCAAACGUGUGAAUUCUCCACAUAGGUGUUACAUUUACACACAAAACAUUA